rnacentral:lncRNA from 1 species
CAUUUUCUCGGUCGCUUGCUGAUCUUCGGAAUAUAAGAUACGAGCAAGACGCGUUGCCUGUUCGUCUGAACUGAGUUAAUGCAGGGUGUCGUUCCCACGAAGGAACAGCCAAGGAGACGAUGGGCCCAGCAGAGCGUG